AGGACCUUGCACUUUUGGAGCGGCCGAUGUCUGAUUAGCUAGUUGGUGGGGUAAUGGCCUACCAAAGCUUCGAUCAGUAGCUGGUCUGAGAGGACGGCCAGCCACACUGGGACUGAGACACGGCCCAGACUCCUACGGGAGGCAGCAGUGGGGAAUUUUGGACAAUGGGCGCAAGCCUGAUCCAGCCAUGCCGCGUGAGUGAAGAAGGCCUUCGGGUUGUAAAGCUCUUUCAGCCGGGAAGAAAAGGUUGCGACUAAUAAUCGCAAUCCAUGACGGUACCGAAAGAAGAAGCACCGGCUAACUACGUGCCAGCAGCCGCGGUAAUACGUAGGGUGCGAGCGUUAAUCGGAAUUACUGGGCGUAAAGGGUGCGCAGGCGGUUUUGUAAGUCAGAUGUGAAAUCCCCGGGCUUAACCUGGGAACU
rnacentral:rRNA from 1 species